AAAAAAAAAACCAUGUGGUAUCGAUAAAAAAAUCGAUAUGGGACUGAGACAUUGUCUUUUACACUUUUACAUAAGCAAGCAGAUAUGAUAAACUAACGUUUACGUAAACGAAAUCAGACGGCAACAGUUUACACUAUUAAGAGUUAACCACAACGUUCGCACUUGAUUCUCUAGGAAAAUUAUUAUGAAUCUUUGUGUGCGCCUUUUGAUUACGCUACAUUUUUACGAAGGAAAUUGCAAAUGUACGGUGCGACCACCUCAGGAUGAGUUAGAUGGACAUGAUGGGUACCAUUAACCUGGACAAAAUGAAAAUCUGAACUGGCGUUGCGAUAGAUAUCGAGGAAUUCUUGAUGUAAUUCAAUUCGUUCCGAAGAUACGGAGGUAACAGAAUGUUUUGCUUUGAUCAACAAGAACGGACAUUUAAUUCCUCUGGCUAUUUCUUUGAGCUUUUCGGUUGUAAAAUCGUUGAAAAGGAAAGGACGGAUAACAGUGCGUAGGUCUCGGGUAUAUUCAUACUCGUCUUCGCCCGUCUUCCGCAAACUUCGAGCAAGAAGGAUGUCGGCGUGUUCAGCUUCAACAGAUCCAGAAUAAUUUUUGACCAGUUUCUCACGCGCCUGAUUGUAUGUUGUGACGGAUGACUUCCACGAAACAUUUUCAAUUUUUUUAACAAUAUUCUGAAAAUCGUUUAUCACUGCUUUCAUAUCUAUGAUAAAACUAUCUGGGGAAGAAGAUCGAAGUUUAAUGGCAUCCAAGCUGAUUAGUUUGUGAAUUUUGUCGGGAAAUAUGGAGGCAACGAAUAAGGCUAUUUGACCUCCCAUACUGAAAAUCAGAAAUAUAGCUGUUACAAGCCAAUCCAUAACCAAAGGUCAUACAAAAUUACCUGUGGCCCAUAAGAGUAACUUCUUCCCAUUUAAAAAAAUCAAUCACCAAUUUAACAUGAUAGAUAUGGUCAUACAGGGACAAAAACAUUCCCGGAUGGUAAUGUGAGGAAUAGCCAUGACCUACAGGGGACAGUAUAAUUACAGAAAAAUUAAGGAUGUAUUUUCAAAAGGAUAUGCAAAAAAAAAAAAAAACUCACUGAUUACCACAAAAUUCAAGGCACACCAGACGAGUAUUCACAGGCAGAAGAUGAGCUAGUGUGUCAAAGGACCCUGCAUUAUCCUGCCAUCCAUGGAGAGCCAAAACUGGUAGACCAUCAUCAGGGCCCCAUACCUUAGCUGUAUCACCAGAACACAUCAAGUAUAUUUCGCCAGAGAUGAUAAAAACGGGAAUCGAACAGUUAAAUAAGUAGGGAAAAUGUUAACAGGGUUGAACUAUUUUACCUGCCAAAAUACCCCAUGGAACAGGUAUUUGGAGAUCUUCUUUGUAUUGAAGG